GAAUGGCCGCAGUAUUUUAACUGUGCAAAGGUAGCAUAAUCAUUAGUCUUUUAAUUGAAGGCUUGUAUGAAUGGUUGGACGAAAUAUUAACUGUUUCAUAAAAAUUGAUUUAGAAUUUUAUUUUUUAGUUAAAAAGCUAAAAUAUUUUUAAAAGACGAGAAGACCCUAUAGAUCUUUAUAUUUUAUAUAUUAUAAUUAUUUAGAUUAUUUGAAUUAUAGAUUAUAUAAAGUAUUUUGUUGGGGUGACAUUAAAAUUUAAUUAACUUUUAAUUAAUAUUUACAUUAAUUUAUGAGUAUUUGAUCCAUUAUUAAUGAUUAAAAAAUUAAGUUACCUUAGGGAUAACAGCGUAAUUUUUUUGAAGAGUUCAUAUCGAUAAAAAAGAUUGCGACCUCGAUGUUGGAUUAAGAUAUAAUUUUGGGUGCAGCAAUUCAAUUAUUAAGUC
rnacentral:rRNA from 1 species